GCAGAACCUUACCAACCCUUGACAUACCUAUCGCGAGGACCAGAGAUGGAUCCUUCAGUUCGGCUGGAUAAGAUACAGGUGCUGCAUGGCUGUCGUCAGCUCGUGUCGUGAGAUGUUCGGUUAAGUCCGGCAACGAGCGCAAGCCACGUCCUUAGUUACCAGCAUUCAGUUGGGUACCCUAGGGAGACCGCCGGUGAUAAGCCGGAGGAAGGUGUGGAUGACGUCAAGUCCUCAUGGCCCUUACGGGUUGGGCUACACACGUGCUACAAUGGCAGUGACAAUGGGUUAAUCCCCAAAAGCUGUCUCAGUUCGGAUUGGGGUCUGCAACUCGACCCCAUGAAGUUGGAAUCGCUAGUAAUCGCGUAACAGCAUGACGCGGGUGAUACGUUCCCGGGCCUUGUACACACCGCCCGUC
rnacentral:rRNA from 1 species